CACAAAUCGCUGUGGUCAAGCACUGAACAACACAGCAAGAUCCAUGUGCAAGAGGAAAGAGGACAAAUUGCUCACUCCAGCUUCCAUCAAGUCGAGGCAAGCACGGAGUGAGAUUUCCACUGUCCACUAGAUGGCAAAUGGUUCCAGCAGCCUCGGGAGCCGGGGUUUUCCGAUGGCAGUCGGGACCCAGUUCCUCAGACUCUGCACUGGCUUGGAGCUCCCAUCUUCUCCUCGUUUCUCGGGGCCGCCACGUGGCCACUGGGCCAG
rnacentral:lncRNA from 12 species